UACGUAGGGUGCGAGCGUUGUCCGGAAUUAUUGGGCGUAAAGGGCUCGUAGGCGGUUUGUCGCGUCGGGAGUGAAAACCUCGGGCUUAACUCGGGGCUUGCUUUCGAUACGGGCAGACUAGAGGUAGGCAGGGGAGAGCGGAACUCCUGGUGUAGCGGUGGAAUGCGCAGAUAUCAGGAAGAACACCGGUGGCGAAGGCGGCUCUCUGGGCCUUACCUGACGCUGAGGAGCGAAAGCGUGGGUAGCGAACAGG
rnacentral:rRNA from 1 species